GGAUGCGAUCAUACCAGCACUAAAGCACCGGAUCCCAUUAGAACUCCGAAGUUAAGCGUGCUUGGGCGUGAGUAGUACUAGGAUGGGUAACCUCCUGGGAAGUCCUCGUGUUGCAUUCC
rnacentral:rRNA from 1 species